rnacentral:tRNA from 4 species
GCCCUCGUAGCUCAAAGGAUAGAGCAAAGCACUCCUAAGGCUGAGGUUGUGGGUUCGACUCCCACCGAGGGUA